UACCCCGCUGAAAAUUAAGCAUAUCAAUAAGCGGAGGAAAAGAAACUAACAAGGAUUCCCCUAGUAACGGCGAGUGAAGAGGGAUCAGCCCAAAUUUGUAAUCUGGCUCUUUCAGAGUCUGAGUUGUAAUUUUGAGAACUGUUUUCUGCUCUGGACCAUGUACAAGUCUGUUGAAAUGCAGCAUCAUUGAGGGUGAGAAUCCUGUUCAUGAUAUGGACUACCAGGGCUUUAUGAUACAGUCUCUAAGAGUCGAGUUGUUUGGGAAUGCAGCUCAAAGUGGGUGGUAAAUUCCAUCUAAGGCUAAAUAUUGGUGAGAGACCGAUAGCAAACAAGUACCGUGAGGGAAAGAUGAAAAGAACUUUGGAAAGAGAGUUAACAGUACGUGAAAUUGUUAAAAGGGAAACAGUUGAAGUUAGACUUGUUGUUGUUGGUUCAGCUCUUUAAGGGUGUUUUCUGAUGAUUAACAAACCAACAUCAAUCUCUGGGUGUUGGAUAAGGGUCAUUGAAAUGUAGCAGUUUUGGCUGUGUUAUAGUCUUUGACUUGGAUACAGUGCCUGGGAUUGAGGAUUGCAGUAAGCCCCUAUUUGGGGUGGGACAAUUKAUUGUUCUUCUUACUGAGGAUGUUGGUGCAAUAGCUUUAAUUGACCCGUCUUGAAACACGAACCCAAGGAGA
rnacentral:rRNA from 1 species